GGAGCGCAUCUCAGCGAGGGUCAGUCCCGGGGCGGGGAGCGGAGACAGCGCCGGAUGGGAAGGAACGGGAUGCGGGCUCGCCCAGGCUGCAGCGAGGCACGGAUCUCUCAAAGAGCUGGUGAGCGCAGGGGACAUGGCAAACUAUGAGCUGAGCACUGGAUGGAGUAGAGGAAGAAUACACAAAUACAUCUGACCUGGUUUUGGGUAUCACCACAAGAGCCACUGAUGUACACGAGGCCCCAAACAUGAGGCAUCAGGUGAGCAAGGAACUGUCCUUCCAAGAGGAUUUAUGCUCUGCUAUUGGGAGUAUGCCUCAGGUGAAUUUGAAAACAUUCCCCAGGAUGGGAUCCAGGUGGCAUCACAAACCAGCACUGGAAUUUUGAUGAUGAAGAAAAAAAAGAUGAUGGAAUCUGAGAGAAAGCAAAUAACCAUUCUUGAGGCUGAGCCCUACACACAGGGAAAGGCCAGCCAGCCAUGCCACAUUCUGACUUUGGAUGAUGGACCACAUGAAUCCAUCAUCCUCUUGGGAACCAAUUCCACACAGGAUCCAUUAUCCUGCCCACAGAGCUUUCCUGUCCAUCCAGGCACUCCAGUACCCUUUUGAGCAAGGCACUGCUGCCCAGUUCAGCCAUGCACAACAUCAGAUCCUGACUGCAAAUGUGCUCUUGGAAGCCUCAGAUGCAAAUGUGUUCACUUCUCUCAUCCCUGUGGGGAAAAGCAGACACACGGUGAUUUACACCAACAGAAUCAAUUUCCCAGUGGAAGCAGGCCAAGAUACUAUGAAUAAAAUGAGGAAUCAUAGCUUUCCACAUUCAACCUGUCCCUGGACGUGAAGAACCCCCUUUGGAACAGAUCUGCUGCUGCUUUGUGAGCCAACAAAAGGAAAGUGAAUUUGUGCCUGUUGUAUCCACCUGAUGGUCAACUUGUAGCAUGCUGCCAGACCACAAGAGAUACUAAUUACCAGCAGCACAAAUCACGUUACUCUCGCCAGUUUGGAUUCCUGGAAAAUCUUGCUUUGAGGGAUGUCAGACUCAACAUCAUGAACAGAUGGUGUUUCUGUCUGAGGAGGAGGCAUGUCCUUGAUCAGUCUGUCACUGCUUAGGGUGCUGACAUUCUUGCUUCUCAUCCAAAAGUCUUCACCCAAGGGCUGAGGCUUUACAAGGCAGCCCAGAGUCUGCAAGGAUGACUGGGACCUGGAAAUACAGGCAGGAAAGCAAUGUCAGGGUGACCGAGUCCAUGUCCCUGCAAAAUAUCCAACAGCUUGGGCACAGGUGUCAUCUCUUACAAGUUCUUGUGGCUUGCAAAAACUCGUGGGUCCCCCAUGGCUUGAUCUGCAACAUAACAGUAAAACAUCUCAAGGUGAGUCCUUAACUCCUCAGCACAGCAAAAUAGGUAAGAGUUAAGUGACAAUUAAAGAUCAGAAUUAGAAGUUCUUAUGUGAAGACCUGAAAAGCUUUUCAGUGAGUAUCUUCUCUCCUCAGCUGCGGGGUGCACAAAGAACCAAACUGCCCCGAUCCUUCCGGGGCUUAUCCAGAUCCCACAGAACUUCAUGGAAGUUGCAGCAACUUCAGCAGGCUGUGAACAAGGUCUGUAGGAUGCUGUCCUGUGAGUAUUUACCCUCUGUAGAGAGCAGAUGUCUGCCACCUCAAUAUGGGGUAUCAAGUUAUAGCGUGACAAAGCACAGGUUAUUAAUCACAUCCUUGAAGUGAAGUGGUUAUAAGGUCAUCACGUCAAACCCUGCCUAGCACCUGCCUGCACAAGUUUUAUUUUACACAGAGACCAGGGAAGCAUCUCUUUAAAGCCCUUGACUCCAACUCAUUAGCU
ensembl:lncRNA